rnacentral:rRNA from 1 species
GAUGAACGCUGGCGGCGUGCCUAAUACAUGCAAGUCGAGCGAACAGACGAGGAGCUUGCUCCUCUGACGUUAGCGGCGGACGGGUGAGUAACACGUGGAUCACCUACCUAUAAGACUGGGAUAACUUCGGGAAACCGGAGCUAAUACCGGAUAAUAUAUUGAACCGCAUGGUUCAAUAGUGAAAGACGGUUUUGCUGUCACUUAUAGAUGGAUCCGCGCCGCAUUAGCUAGUUGGUAAGGUAACGGCUUACCAAGGUAACGAUGCGUAGCCGACCUGAGAGGGUGAUCGGCCACACUGGAACUGAGACACGGUCCAGACUCCUACGGGAGGCAGCAGUAGGGAAUCUUCCGCAAUGGGCGAAAGCCUGACGGAGCAACGCCGCGUGAGAGAUGAAAGUCUUCGGAUCGUAAAACUCUGUUAUUAGGGAAGAACAAAUGUGUAAGUAACUAUGCACGUCUUGACGGUACCUAAUCAGAAAGCCACGGCUAACUACGUG